GCGCACGCGCGCUACACUGACGGAGCCAACGAGUACUGGCGUAAGCCUUCCUUAGCCGAAAGGUUCGGGUAAUCUUGUUAAACUCUGUCGUGCUGGGGAUAGUCCUUUGCAAUUAUCGGACUUGAACGAGGAAUUCCUAGUAAGCGCGAUUCAUCAGAUCGCGUUGAUUACGUCCCUGCCCUUUGUACACACCGCCCGUCGCUACUACCGAUUGAAUGGCUUAGUGAGGCCCUCGGAUUGGCGUAUUGUUGCCGGCAACGGCUAGCAGUAUGCCGAGAAGUUGGUCAAACUUGGUCAUUUAGAGGAAGUAAAAGUCGUAACAAGGUAUCCGUAGGUGAACCUGCGGAUGGAUCAUUAACGU
rnacentral:rRNA from 1 species